UACAGAGGGUGCAAGCGUUGUUCGGAAUUAUUGGGCGUAAAGCGUGCGCAGGCGGUUGCUGAAGUCCGUUGUGAAAGCCCCGGGCUUAACCUGGGAAUGGCAGUGGAAACUAGGCGACUUGAAUCUGGCAGAGGGGGGUGGAAUUCCGCGUGUAGCAGUGAAAUGCGUAGAGAUGCGGAGGAACACCGAUGGCGAAGGCAGCCCCCUGGGCUAACACUGACGCUCAGGCACGAAAGCGUGGGGAGCAAACAGG
rnacentral:rRNA from 1 species